AAACCUAUGGUCUAAUUUAGUUCAAACUUACCCAAGAAUGAACCAAAGAAAUCCUAUGGGGGACAUGUUAUCCACACAAGGGAAAGAGAUAAAAGAAGACAAAUCCAUAUCAGGUCAUGGUGAAAGUCUAAUGAAUGUUAAUAUGGAAAAUGAAUGUUUGGACAUGGAGCUCUACAACAGUAUCCUAACAUUCAAAAUAGAGAAAGUCUAAACCUAAUC
rnacentral:lncRNA from 1 species